GCUCAGCGAUAUGAGGCAGCAUCGACAAUUUAUGGACCGCACACAUUAUCUGCUUACAUUCAGCUCUUCAGAAACCUUGCUAAGGCUAUUGCUACGGGGGAAGUUGCUGAAGUUAUAUUUGUAGGUGCUAACCCGAAGAAUUCAGUACAAAACCAGACCCAUCAGACCUUCCUCACUGUGGAGAAAUAUGAGGCUACUUCAACAUCGUGGCAGAUAGUGUGUAAUGAUGCCUCCUGGGAGACUCGUUUUUAUUGGCACAAGGGACUCCUGGGUCUGAGUAAUGCAACAGUGGAAUGGCAUAUUCCAGACACUGCCCAGCCUGGAAUCUACAGAAUAAGAUAUUUUGGACACAAUCGGAAGCAGGACAUUCUGAAGCCUGCUGUCAUACUUUCAUUUGAAGGCACUUCCCCGGCUUUUGAAGUUGUAACUAUUUAGUGAAAAGUUGAUAGAUCAUUUAAAGAACAGCUUUACUCUCUACACAUUAUAUAAGUGAUUUCAAAUGAAUGUGAACUAGUGAACUACCAUGUUGACUUCUAUAA
rnacentral:lncRNA from 1 species